ACGGGGUGCAGCAGGCGCGAAACCUCCGCAAUACACGAAAGUGUGACGGGGUUACCCAAAGUGUUCAAUAGAACUGUGGUAGGUGAGUAAUGUUCCCUACUAGAAAGGAGAGGGCAAGGCUGGUGCCAGCCGCCGCGGUAAAACCAGCUCUUCAAGUGGUCGGGAUAAUUAUUGGGCUUAAAGUGUCCGUAGCCGGUUUAGUAAGUUCCUGGUAAAAUCGGGUAGCUUAACUAUCUAUAUGCUAGGAAUACUACUAUACUAGAGGGCGGGAGAGGUCUGAGGUACUACAGGGGUAGGGGUGAAAUCUUAUAAUCCUUGUUGGACCACCAGUGGCGAAGGCGUCAGACUGGAACGCGCCUGACGGUGAGGGACGAAAGCCAGGGGAGCGAACCGGAUUAGAUACCCGGGUAGUCCUGGCCGUAAACGAUGCAUACUAGGUGAUGGCACGGCCAUGAGCCGUGUCAGUGCCGUAGGAAACCGUUAAGUUGCCGCCUGGAAGUACGUCGCAAG
rnacentral:rRNA from 1 species